rnacentral:misc_RNA from 1 species
AAAGUGCGAUAACUAGUGUGAAUUGCAGAAUUCAGUGAAUCAUCGAAUCUUUGAACGCACAUUGCGCCCGCCAGUAUUCUGGCGGGCAUGCCUGUUCGAGCGUCAUUACAACCCUCAGGCCACCGGGCCUGGCGUUGGGGAUCGGCGGAAGCCCCCUGCGGGCACAACGCCGUCCCCCAAAUACAGUGGCGGUCCCGCCGCAGCUUCCAUUGCGUAGUAGCUAACACCUCGCAACUGGAGAGCGGCGCGGCCACGCCGUAAAACACCCAACUUCUGAAUGUUGACCUCGAAUCAGGUAGGAAUACCCGCUGAACUUAAGC